UACGUACUGGGCGAACGUUAUUCGGAAUCACUGGGCUUAAAGGGUGCGUAGGCGGCCUUCCAGGUCCGGUGUGAAAUCUCACGGCUCAACCGUGAAAUGGCGCUGGAAACCGGAAGGCUUGAGUGUGCUAGGGGUGUGUGGAACUUCCAGUGGAGCGGUGAAAUGUGUUGAUAUUGGAAGGAACGCCGGUGGCGAAAGCGACACACUGGGGCACAACUGACGCUGAGGCACGAAAGCUAGGGUAGCGAACGGG
rnacentral:rRNA from 1 species